rnacentral:rRNA from 1 species
GACGAACGCUGGCGGCGUGCUUAACACAUGCAAGUCGAACGGAAAGGCUCUGCUUUUGUGGGGUGCUCGAGUGGCGAACGGGUGAGUAACACGUGAGUAACCUGCCCUUGACUUUGGGAUAACUUCAGGAAACUGGGGCUAAUACCGGAUAGGAGCUCCUGCUGCAUGGUGGGGGUUGGAAAGUUUCGGCGGCUGGGGAUGGACUCGCGGCUUAUCAGCUUGUUGGUGGGGUAGUGGCUUACCAAGGCUUUGACGGGUAGCCGGCCUGAGAGGGUGACCGGCCACAUUGGGACUGAGAUACGGCCCAGACUCCUACGGGAGGCAGCAGUGGGGAAUAUUGCACAAUGGGCGGAAGCCUGAUGCAGCAACGCCGCGUGCGGGAUGACGGCCUUCGGGUUGUAAACCGCUUUCGCCUGUGACGAAGCGUGAGUGACGGUAAUGGGUAAAGAAGCACCGGCUAACUACGUG